AACUAUAAUACUAUGGCAGCAUAGGGAUUCCCCCCUGUACUAAGCAUAAUUCACAAUGUACUAAGGGGGCCCCACAAAAAUGAUUUCAAUUGGGCUCCGCAGUUGGUAAGACCGGCCCUGAUGGCCAUUUAGUCAAAUGCAAACAAACAUUCAAAGUUUUUCAAAAUUUUUCAAGAAGACAUAGUUAUACUGUACCUGACAAUAUCAUUACAGAUAGCUGUUUAAACACAUAUAUAGCCCCAUUAUACAGGUGAGGUUCAAGCUAUACAUUAAUCAAAGCUUUUAAAAUUGUUUAGAAAUUUAUUUUCAUUUUUUACCUUGGAGAGAAGAGGAGGAGGACAACUUUUACUCUUAUGUAGAGGAAAAUGUUUUGAGUUUUAAAGUUUUAGAAUUUUAAAAUGUUAGAGUUUGCACAAAAAUGUUUUAAUAUUAAUUAGAAUUGAAGAAGAAGAAGGAGUGGAUUCUUUACUCUCAAGUAAAUCACAAAACAUCAAACUCAUAAUUAAGUCCCAAGGGUAAACGUGUAUGGACAUAAAAAAUCUAAAAAACCUCCCUUCUUGCUAGAAGACUAAGUAAAUCACUCCCUCUCACCCCCAAUCUAACUUUCCCAAUGCCUUGGACUGAAAAGAAAUUAGUUUUACUCCUAUUGCAUAGUGCAAAGUGUUUUGUUAUAUUGCUUUUCUCCGCUGCUAAGGGAUUUUUUAUCUGACUUAAAUGUUCCCUUAUUCUUUCUUUCAGUGAUCUAUUAGUACAACCCACAUCUUGCUUCUGGCCCUUUAAACAGAAAUUUUUGUAUGUUGGCAAGUUAUACACCUACGACUACCACACUUAUAAUUCCUUGAAGGCUGAAGAAAACUUGAUGACACUAAAUCCUUAAGUGUAUGGGCUCACUUAGGAAUAGCACUAAUUCUCUGAUUCAAUAUACUGAAGAAAUCAUUAUCUGCAAUAAUGUAGGCAAUCUUUUAAGAAUGUUGAAAAUCCUAUAGUAUUGUUUACUAUAUCUAGUGACGAAUGUAAUUUUAUCUGCCCAUUUAUGACCUUGUUUUUUCUCAUCUACCCAGGCUAGCAACUGCUUUCUCUCCACAUUCAGGCCUGAUGUUUAUAACCUCGUUCCAUAAAUCUCCUACCUAUAUCUCCAGCCUGAUCACAUAUAAAUAUGUCUUCUUGAAAAAUUUUAAAUGUUUGUUUGCAUUUGACUAAAUGGCCAUUCUACUAUUUGAUUAUUGCUGUUAAAAUGUAACCAAUGGAGAGUAAAUGGUUGAAUUUC